AGAGUUUGAUCCUGGCUCAGGACGAACGCUGGCGGCGUGCUUAACACAUGCAAGUCGAACGAGUGCCUUCGGGUGCUAGUGGCGAACGGGUGAGUAACACGUGAGCAACCUGCCCUUGGCUCUGGGAUAGCCUCCGGAAACGGGGAUUAAUACCGGACAUGACCCGGGUCCGCAUGGACUUGGGUGGAAAGUUUUUCGGC
rnacentral:rRNA from 1 species